GCUAAGCCACAUAUCAGGAGCUCUGGUGGCCUAGAGUUGGAGCUCUCGCCUCACAAUCGGGAGGCUGUGAGUUCGAUCCUAGGUACAGGCUAAUAUUUGGAAUAGGCUCUCCUGCACGAGCAGGGGGUUGGACUAGAUGACUUCCAAGGUCCCUUCCAACUCUGUU